GAGGCCCCGCCUGCUUCCGGGGCGGGCCGCGCGGGCUGACCCCGCCCCCCGACUUCCGCCUCCCGGCGCCUUGGAGUUGGGAGUGUAGGGCAGAACUUGUACCAAUCUAUAUUCUAUAGCAAUGGAGGGGAGAUGCUGUUCACCUAUAAUUGAUGUUGGCUGCAAUGGUCACUAAUACCUCAGAGCAAUGUUUUUCUCAUAUUCUCUCUGCCGUCUGCCCGUAGAUGCCAGACACUGAAGAUGCCAGGAACCGAAGAUAUAGGCUCUCUCUUUUCCACAAAAUGGCACUUGCCUUGGACCACUUAUGGGCACUACGUUAUUGGGUGUUUUCAUAGGGUCCCUCUGGGAAGGUGCCUUGCUGAGCCUGAGGAGAUGUAGAAAGAAGCAGGACUGGGGAGCUUGGAUCUCAAAGACGGGCGCCUGUAUAUCUGUUGAAUAAAACCAACAAAUGACUUGAGUUGGUCUUUGCCAGGUGAAAAGAGGAAAACAGUAUCAAGUGGAUGAAACAACAUAUGUAAGAAAUGCAGCAAAUGAGAAAUCCCAAGUGGUUGGAGGAGACAGGAGAGAGAGCUAAGGCCUUCAGGAGGCUAGAAACCCCAUCAGGCAUCAAGAGUUUAAACCUUAAAACAAAAAUUUUUUUUUAAUGUGGGCCAUUUUUCAACUCAUUAUUGAGUUUGUUACAAUAUUGCUUCUGUUUUACUGUUUUAUGUUUUUGGUUUCUUGGCCACAAGUCAGGUGGGAUAUCAGCUUCCCAACAAGGAUUGAACCUCCACACCCUGCAUUAGAAGGCAAAGUCUUAACUACUGGACUACCAGAGAAGUCCCAACAAUCAUUAUUACAAUUUCAAUUUAGGGUAAAAUGUGAAGCAACUUCUUUUUCUAAAGCUGAAACAUUGAAGGGCAAGUUUGUCCUUAUUAUUCCACCUCCCACCUGCUUCUGGUUGACUUUGGGUCAGGGGAAACUUGGGCUGGUACAAAUGCUUGUUCACCAGGUAAGGUGGGGCCCAGGCUGUCUCCCCUCCCCUCACUUUAAAUUCACAGUAUUUUUGUUUAAAAUUAUUAUUGUGGUAUUAUGUACAAAGCAUAAAAUUUAUCAUUUUACCCUUGGGUGGACGAUUCAGCAACAUUAAUUACAUUUACAUUGUUGUGCAACUGUCAAUAGCAUCCAUCUCCAGAACUUUCUCAAUCCUAACUGCAAUUUUGUACCCACUGAACACUAAUUCCUCAGUUCUUCCUCCUCCAGCCCCUGGCAACCACCAUUCUGUUUCCUUUUUCUAUGAAUUUGACUAUUUCAGGUUCCUCAUGUAAGUGGAAUCAUAUUUGUCCUUUUGUAACUGGUUUAUUUCAUGUCCUCAAGGUUCAUGCAUGUUGUAGCUCGUGUCCGAAUUUCAUUCCCUUUUAAGGCUGAAUAAUCUUCCACUGUCUGUUUAUACCAUGUUUAUCCAUUCAUCCAUUGAUGGACAUACAGGUUAUUUCCACCUCUCAGCUAUUGUGGAUAAUGCUGCCACAGAUGUGGGUGUGCAAGUAUCUGUUCGUGACGCUGCUUUCAGUUUUUACUGGAAUUUCUGGAUCACAGGGUAAUUCUAUCUUAAAUUCUUUGAGGGACUCUCUUCCUAGACCCGAUUUUAAAGUCCAUUUCCCCCUUGGUUUGAAGGUAGGCAGACUGAUUUAGAUAGAGUACCACUUGGAAAGAGCUACCAGUUUAGGAUGAAAAGGAACCAGGCAAGCUUCAGCCCUGCGGGCUUCCUCCUUGUUUCCGUAAGAGCCAUCAUCUCUGUGAACUCAUUGCUCUGCAAACUAGUUCACUCAUUUCUCUACGAGUGGUCCGGGAAGCACUGGCGUCAAAAUUAACUUAGGACAGACUUCCCUGUGGUUCAGUGGACAGGAGUCUGCCUGCCAGUGCUGGGGUCCCUGGUUCAAUCCCUGGUCUGAGAAGAUUCCACAUGCUGUGGAGCAACUAAACCUGUGCGCCACAA